CCUACGGGAGGCAGCAGUGAGGAAUAUUGGUCAAUGGACGAGAGUCUGAACCAGCCAAGUAGCGUGAAGGAUGACUGCCCUAUGGGUUGUAAACUUCUUUUAUAUGGGAAUAAAAUGUUCCACGUGUGGGAUUUUGUAUGUACCAUAUGAAUAAGGAUCGGCUAACUCCGUGCCAGCAGCCGCGGUAAUACGGAGGAUCCGAGCGUUAUCCGGAUUUAUUGGGUUUAAAGGGAGCGUAGGUGGAUGGUUAAGUCAGUUGUGAAAGUUUGCGGCUCAACCGUAAAAUUGCAGUUGAAACUGGCAGUCUUGAGUACAGUAGAGGUGGGCGGAAUGCGUGGUGUAGCGGUGAAAUGCUUAGAUAUCACGAAGAACUCCGAUUGCGAAGGCAGUUCACUGGACUGCAACUGACACUGAGGCUCGAAAGUGUGGGUAUCAAACAGGAUUAGAUACCCGAGUAGUC
rnacentral:rRNA from 1 species